CGCGGCUACCCUCUGCAGGCCCGGCCCGCACAACAGAGGCUGUAUGCGAGAGGAAUGGAAAUGAGCCUCAGGCCCUGCCGAAGGAGCCCCAUCCCCUUCCCCGCGCGGGGCUGAGGAAUGCUGGCCAGCCGGAAAGGAACCCUCGCUGGGAACGCCGCUCUCGCGCCUCUGAAACCCCAUUGAGAAGAACCCUUUGAUGCAAUUAAAGCGCAUUUCAUUGCAGGCCUGGGAGGAGGGAACGACCGGCAAGCUUUUUUCUGUCUCGGACGUGUGUAUGCACCUUUGUGGGCCGGGUUACUUAGAGACCAGGCGGGAACUUGAGCUCCCUCUCUCGCAGACGUUCUGUAACAUCAGAAAAGCGUACCCAUAAACAGAUUGGUUUUCACCAGGGGUGGAACUCAAUUUGGACACGAUCCAGGCUGACCUGCAGGCCGGGGUUCCUACUUUGAAAGGCUCUUUGGUGCGCCUUACACCCACCUUCCCUGCUGUAAAGGUUUAGGCGGAAAAGAAAUUGCGUUUGCAGGAGGAAGUUGUUUCUGAGGUUACUGCUCAGCAUUUUCCAUUUUCUCAGUGGUGGGGUGGGCCGUGUCGCAUAUCCAGAAGUGAUGUCACAGCCAGACCUGCAAAAUGAUGUAACCUGCAAGUGUUGAAGGACGACGAUGGGACAGCUAUUUUGAUACUCGUAUUAUUUUAUAACAUUUCCCUGCUUUUUCCAUUGAGACAACUGUGUGACCUCAGAAAAUCCACAUAGCCUCUCUGAACUUAGUAUUUUUGUGUGUGUGUUAAAAUGAGUAUCACAAAGCCGGAGAACGAAUGUGAUGAAGUUCUGGGUGCUUGUGGAAUUCUUUCUAAGUUGGAGGUGGACACUUUAUCUACCUGCACAGGUGGAAGAUAUGUGGGUCUGGAACUCCGGUAAACAAAAAGAUCCUAUUGGGACCUCUAU
rnacentral:lncRNA from 1 species